GUUCUCCUGGUUCUUCUCAUUUCAUUUUGCAUCAGUUCAUGUGAAGGACGAUUGGCGACAGCAUCCAUAGGUUGGAAUAGUGGGUGUCGGAAGUCCAGGAGUAUGUGCAGGAAGCUGAACGUGGGUGAGACACUGAGGAGUGAUGUGCUUAACCUAACCCAGCUGUAGCAGAAAAACAGACUCGUCUGCAGCUAUGAUGCAUUUGGAAAUGAACUGGGUGAGACAUAUUUUAGAAACUGUUUGAAGUUUGAGCUCACUCUUCUCAGGGACCAAGGUAAUAUUAGGAAGGAUGUUCAGAGGAGGGGAUGUUUUAUAAUCUCUGUUCUUGCUCUAUCUUUUCAGAAAAUAUCCCUUUGUAAAACAUCAUUGAUGUUCAUUGCUUAAAUGACACUGGAAAUAACAGGAAUUUGAUAUGACUGCCAGAACUGUUGUAACACCACAACAUCUGGUGUUUUGCAGGCCUGAUGUAAUAAAUUAUGAAAAAAAAAAAAAAGGAUUGACCUCAGG